GAACGGUUGGCUCAGUUGGCAGAGCGCUCGGUUGGAACCUGAGAGGUCGCGGGUUCGAGUCCCGCAUCGUUUA